rnacentral:rRNA from 1 species
AACGAACGCUGGCGGCAUGCCUAACACAUGCAAGUCGAACGAGACCUUCGGGUCUAGUGGCGCACGGGUGCGUAACGCGUGGGAACCUGCCCUUAGGUUCGGAAUAACUCCCCGAAAGGGGUCCUAAUACCGGAUAAUGUCUUCGGACCAAAGAUUUAUCGCCUUUGGAUGGGCCCGCGUUGGAUUAGCUAGUUGGUAGGGUAAAAGCCUACCAAGGCGACGAUCCAUAGCUGGUCUGAGAGGAUGAUCAGCCACACUGGGACUGAGACACGGCCCAGACUCCUACGGGAGGCAGCAGUGGGGAAUAUUGGACAAUGGGCGAAAGCCUGAUACAGCAAUGCCGCGUGAGUGAUGAAGGCCUUAGGGUUGUAAAGCUCUUUUACCCGGGAUGAUAAUGACAGUACCGGGAGAAUAAGCUCCGGCUAACUCCGUG